UAGGGAAUCUUCCACAAUGGACGCAAGUCUGAUGGAGCAACGCCGCGUGAGUGAAGAAGGUUUUCGGACCGUAAAGCUCUGUUGUUGGUGAAGAAGGAUAGAGGUAGUAACUGGCCUUUAUUUGACGGUAAUCAACCAGAAAGUCACGGCUAACUACGUGCCAGCAGCCGCGGUAAUCGUAGGUGACAAGCGUUGUCCGGAUUUAUUGGGCGUAAAGCGAGCGCAGGCGGAAGAAUAAGUCUGAUGUGAAAGCCCUCGGCUUAACCGAGGAAUUGCAUCGGAAACUGUUUUCUUGAGUGCAGAAGAGGAGAGUAGAACUCCAUGUGUAGCGGUGGAAUGCGUAGAUAUAUGGAAGAAUACCAGUGGCGAAGGCGGCUCUCUGGUCUGCAACUGACGCUGAGGCUCGAAAGCAUGGGUAGCGAACAGGAUUAGAUACCCUGGUAGUCCACGCCGUAAACGAUGAGUGCUAGGUGUUGGAUCCUUUCCGGGAUUCAGUGCCGCAGCUAACGCAUUAAGCACUCCGCCUGGGGGAGUACGACCGCAAGGUUGAAACUCAAAGUGAAUUGACGGGG
rnacentral:rRNA from 1 species